rnacentral:rRNA from 1 species
CCUACGGGAGGCAGCAGUGAGGAAUCUUGCGCAAUGGGGGAAACCCUGACGCAGCGACGCCGUGUGAGUGAAGAAGGCCUUCGGGUCGUAAAGCUCUGUCAAGUGGGAAUAAAGUCUCUCGGUGAAUACCUGAGCGAUUUGAAGGUACCACUAAAGGAAGCACCGGCUAACUCCGUGCCAGCAGCCGCGGUAAU